rnacentral:rRNA from 1 species
AGUCGACGGAGAUACGCGCUGAAUGGAUGGAGCUUGCUUUUGAAAUUCUUGUGUAUCUUAGUGGCGGACGGGUGAGUAACGCGUGAGCAACCUGCCUUUCAGAGGGGGAUAACGUUUGGAAACGAACGCUAAUACCGCAUGAGACCACAGUACUGCAUAGUACAGUAGCCAAAGGAGCAAUCCGCUGAAAGAUGGGCUCGCGUCCGAUUAGAUAGUUGGCGGGGUAACGGCCCACCAAGUCGACGAUCGGUAGCCGGACUGAGAGGUUGAACGGCCACAUUGGGACUGAGACACGGCCCAGACUCCUACGGGAGGCAGCAGUGAGGGAUAUUGGUCAAUGGGGGAAACCCUGAACCAGCAACGCCGCGUGAGGGAAGACGGUUUUCGGAUUGUAAACCUCUGUCCUCUGUGAAGAUAAUGACGGUAGCAGAGGAGGAAGCUCCGGCUAACUACGUGCCAGCAGCCGCGGUAAUACGUAGGGAGCAAGCGUUGUCCGGAUUUACUGGGUGUAAAGGGUGCGUAGGCGGCCCUGCAAGUCAGAAGUGAAAUCCAUGGGCUUAACCCGUGAACUGCUUUUGAAACUGCAGGACUUGAGUGGAGUAGAGGUAGGCGGAAUUCCCGGUGUAGCGGUGAAAUGCGUAGAGAUCGGGAGGAACACCAGUGGCGAAGGCGGCCUACUGGGCUUUAACUGACGCUGAAGCACGAAAGCGUGGGUAGCAAACAGGAUUAGAUACCCUGGUAGUCCACGCCGUAAACGAUGAUUACUAGGUGUGGGGGGUCUGACCCCCUCCGUGCCGGAGUUAACACAAUAAGUAAUCCACCUGGGGAGUACGGCCGCAAGGCUG